rnacentral:rRNA from 1 species
UGUAUCCUACGGGGGGCAGCAGUGGGGAAUAUUGCACAAUGGGGGGAACCCUGAUGCAGCGACGCCGCGUGAGUGAAGAAGUAUUUCGGUAUGUAAAGCUCUCUCAGCAGGGAAGAUAAUGACGGUACCUGACUAAGAAGCCCCGGCUAACUACGUGCCAGCAGCCGCGGUAAUACGUAGGGGGCAAGCGUUAUCCGGAUUUACUGGGUGUAAAGGGUGCGUAGGUGGCAGGGCAAGUCAGAUGUGAAAGCCCGGGGCCCAACCCCGGUACUGCAUUUGAAACUGUCCGGCUGGAGUGCAGGAGG